rnacentral:rRNA from 1 species
AACUUUUAACAAUGGAUCUCUUGGUUCUGGCAUCGAUGAAGAACGCAGCGAAAUGCGAUAAGUAGUGUGAAUUGCAGAAUUCAGUGAAUCAUCGAAUCUUUGAACGCACAUUGCGCCCCUUGGUAUUCCAUGGGGCAUGCCUGUUCGAGCGUCA